AUACGGAGGGUGCAAGCGUUACUCGGAAUUACUGGGCGUAAAGGACGCGUAGGCGGUUUAGAAAGUCAGAUGUGAAAGCCUAUGGCUUAACCAUAGAACUGCAUUUGAAACUUCCAAACUAGAGUGGGGGAGAGGUCAGUGGAAUUAGUGGUGUAGGGGUAAAAUCCGUAGAGAUCACUAGGAAUACUCAUUGCGAAGGCGACUGACUGGAACUUAACUGACGCUGAGGCGUGAAAGCGUGGGGAGCAAACAGGAUUAGAAACCCGUGUAGUCC
rnacentral:rRNA from 1 species